rnacentral:pre_miRNA from 1 species
UCAGUACUCCCUCCGUCCGAAAAUACUUGUCAUCAAAAUAGAUAAAAAGGGAUGUAUCUAAAACUAAAAUACAUCUAGAUACAUCCUCUUUUAUUCAUUUUGAUGACAAGUAUUUCCGGACGGAUGGAGUAUUUG